rnacentral:rRNA from 1 species
ACUUUUAAUAAUAGAUCUCUUAGUUCUAGCAUUAAUGAAGAACGCAGCAAAAUGUGAUAAGUAGUAUAAAUUGCAGAAUUUAGUAAAUUAUUAAAUCUUUAAACGCACAUUGCGCUUCUUAGUAUUCUAUAGAGCAUGCCUAUUUAAGCGUUAUUUAUACUCUUAAGCUCUGCUUAGUGUUAAGUAUUUAUCUUCUCUCUAGUGUUUAGACUUACCUUAAAAUAAUUAGCAGCUAGUGUUUUAGUAUUAAAGCGCAGCAUAAGUUAUAAUUUAUAAUAAAUACUUGCAUCUAUAAGCCUUUUUAACUUUUAACCUUAGAUUAAGUAGGAAUACCUGCUGAACUUAAGCAUAUUAAUAAGCAGAGAAAAAGAAACUAAUAGAGAUUACUCUAGUAACAGCGAGUAAAGCAGCAAUAGCUUAAAUUUAAAAUCUAGCUCUUUUAGAGUCUAAGUUAUAAUUUGCAGAGAGCGCUUUAGCGUUAGCAGCAGUCUAAGUUCUUUAGAAUAGAACGUUAUAGAGAGUAAGAAUUCUAUACGUAGUUGCUAGCCUUCGCUGUAUAAAGCCUCUUUAAUAAGUUAAGUUAUUUAAGAAUGUAGCUCUAAAUAGAAGGUAAAUUUCUUCUAAAGCUAAAUACUAGCUAGAGACUAAUAGCGCAUAAGUAGAGUAAUUAAAAGAUAAAAAGCACUUUAGAAAGAGAGUUAAAUAGUAUGUAAAAUUAUUAAAAGAGAAGCACUUGCAGCUAGACUUGUCUAUAGUUGCUUAUCUAGACUUUUGUCUAGUGCACUCUUCUGCAGGUAGGCUAGUAUUAGUUUAGGCAGUUAGAUAAAGGUCUCUAUUAUAUAUCUUCUUUUAGAGAGGCCUUAUAGAGAAGCAUAAUAUGUAACUAGCUUAGACUAAGGUCUGCGCAUCUGCUAGAAUGCUAGCGUAAUAGCUAUAAGCAGCCUAUCUUAAAAUACAGACUAAGGAGUCUAAUAUCUAUGCAAGUGUUUAGGUAUUAAGCCUAGAUGCGUAAUAAAAGUAAAUAGAGGUAAGAACUUUUUAGGUGCACUAUUAACUAAUCCUAAUAUCUUUAGAAGGAUUUAAGUAAGAGCAUAGCUAUUAACGACCUAAAAGAUAGUAAACUAUACUUAAAUAGAGUAAAGCUAGAGAAAACUCUAGUAGAGGCUCGCAGCAGUUCUAACGUGCAAAUUAAUUAUUAAAUUUAGGCAUAGGAGCGAAAGACUAAUUAAACUAUCUAGUAGCUAGUUUCUGCUGAAGUUUCUCUUAGGAUAGCAGUAACGUAUUUAGUUUUAUAAGGUAAAGCAAAUAAUUAGAGGCCUAGAAGUUAAAAUAACCUUUACCUAUUCUUAAACUUUAAAUAUAUAAGAAGUUCUUAUUACUUAAUUAAACGUAGACACUUAAAUAUACUGUUACUAGUAGGCUAUUUUUAGUAAGUAGAACUAGCGAUGCGAGAUAAACUAAAUGCAGAGUUAAGAUACUAGAAUAUACGCUUAUUAGAUACUAUAAAAGGUGUUAGUUUAUCUAGACAGCAGGACAGUAGCUAUAGAAGUUAGAAUCUACUAAGAAGUAUAUAAUAACUUACCUGCUAAAUAAACUAGCUCUAAAAAUAGAUAGCGCUUAAGCGUAUUACCUAUACUCUGCUGCUAGAGCAGAAUUUAUGCUCUAGCAAGUAGGCAGGCGUAGAGGCUCGUGACGAAGCCUUAAGAGUAACUCUAAGUUAAAUAGUCUCUAGUGCAGAUCUUAGUAGUAGUAGCAAAUACUUAAAUAAGAACUUUAAGAACUAAAGUAAGGAAAGGUUCUGUAUAAAUAGCAGUUAAACAUAGAUUAGUUAAUUCUAAGAGAUAGAGUAGUUCUGUUUUAAUAUUAGCGCUUACGCUACGCUCUUAAAAGAGAAGCUAGUUAAUAUUCUAGCAUCUAGAUGUAGAUUUUCUGCAGCAACGCAACUAAGAGCAGAGACCUUAGCAGAAGCCUUAAGAAGAGUUCUCUUUUCUUCUUAACAGUCUGUUACUCUAAAAUUAGUUUAUCUAAAGCUAGAGUUUAAUAGCUAGAAGAGCGCUGCACUUUUAUAGCAUUUAGUACGCUUCUAAUGAGCCUUAAAAAUCUGCUUAAAGAAAUAGUUUUUACGCUAGGUUAUACUUAUAACUGUAGCAGGUCUCUAAGGUAAAAAGCCUCUAGUUAAUAGAAUAAUAUAGAUAAGAGAAGUUAGUAAAAUAGAUCUAUAACUUUAGGAAAAGAAUUAGCUCUAAGAGUUAGGUAUGUUAGGCCUUAGAGAGAAGCUUCUAGCGCAGAAGAGCACUAGCUAUAAGGUAAGUGCCUUUUAGCGCUAGAGUAUAGGCAUCUUUAGCAGGCUUUAGCUAUCUAGCGUACGUUUAAUAACUAACUUAGAACUAGUAUAGAUAAGAGAAAUCUAACUAUCUAAUUAAAACAUAGCAUUAUAAUAGCUAGAAAGUAGUAUUAAUAUAAUGUAAUUUCUGCCUAGUGCUCUAAAUAUUAAAGCAAAGAGAUUUAACUAAGCAUAGAUAAACAGCAGAAGUAACUAUAACUCUCUUAAGAUAGCUAAAUGCCUUAUUAUCUAAUUAGUGACGCGCAUAAAUAGAUUAAUAAGAUUUCUACUAUCUCUAUCUACUAUCUAGCAAAACUAUAGCUAAGAGAACGGGCUUAGCUAAAUUAGCAGAGAAAGAAGACUCUAUUAAGCUUAACUCUAGUUUAAUAUUAUAAAAAGAUAUAAGAGGUAUAGAAUAGGUAAGAGCUUUAGCGCUAGUAAAAUACUACUACUCUUAUUAUUUUUUUACUUAUUUAAUAAAGCAGAGCUAGGCCUUACUGCCUAACUUCUAGCAUUAAGGUUCUUCGUAAGCUGAUCUGAGUUAAAGAUAUUAUUAGGUAGAGAGUUUAGCUAGGGCAGUAUAUCUAUUAAACUAUAACGCAGGUGUUCUAAGAGGGACUUAUAGAGAACAGAAAUCUCUAGUAAAGUAAAAGAGCAAAAGUCUUCUUAAUUUUAAUUUUUAGUAUAAAUAUAAACUAUGAAAGUAUAGCCUAUUAAUCCUUUAGUCUCUUAAAAUUUAAGGCUAGAGGUGCUAGAAAAGUUACUAUAGAGAUAACUAGCUUAUAGUAGCUAAGCGUUUAUAGCAACGUUACUUUUUAAUUCUUUAAUAUUAGCUCUUCUUAUUAUACUAAAGUAGAAUUUAGUAAGCGUUAGAUUAUUUACUUACUAAUAAGGAAUAUAAGCUAAGUUUAGACUAUUAUAAGAUAGGCUUAGUUUUACUCUACUAAUAACCUUACCUUAAUAGUAAUACUGCUUAGUAUAAGAGAAACUGCAGUUUUAGAUAAUUAGUUUUUGCAGCUAUCUAACUAGGCAUUGCUGCGAAGCUACUAUCUACUAGAUUAUAGCUAAACGCCUCUAAGUUAGAAUCUAUGCUAGAAUAGAGUAAUUUCUGCCUGCACUAGUUAGAUAUAAAUAGGCCUUUAGCCUAGAACCUUAUUAGAUUAGCGUUAGCAGUCUUAUUGAAAUUAGAGCUGCUAGCUAGUGUAUUGCAAUUAUAUAGUGCGCAGGAUUAAAUCCUUUGCAGAUAACUUAGUUAUCUAGCUAGGUUAUAUAAGUAGUUAAGUAGCCUUAUUGUUAUAAGCUACUAAGCGUAAGCCUAAUGCUAGCUUAGUUAAAUAUAGAAAUUAUCUCUCUCUAUUUAAAAGUUGU